GACGUAGGGCGCAAGCGUUUGUCCGGAUUUAUUGGGCGUAAAGAGCUCGUAGGCGGCUCGUUGCGUCGGCUGUGAAAACCCGCAGCUCAACUGUGGGCUUGCAGCCGAUACGGGCGGGCUGGAGUUCGGUAGGGGAGACUGGAAUUCCUGGUGUAGCGGUGAAAUGCGCAGAUAUCAGGAGGAACACCGGUGGCGAAGGCGGGUUGCUGGGCUGACACUGACGCUGAACUGCGAAAGCUAGGGGAGCGAACGGG
rnacentral:rRNA from 1 species